rnacentral:SRP_RNA from 1 species
GCUGGGCAUGGUGGCGCAUGCCUGUUAUCCCAGCUAUUUGGGAGGCUGAGGCACGAGAAUCUCUUGAACCCAGGAGGCGGGGGCUGCAGUGAGCCAAGACUGCACCACUGCACUCCAGCCUGGGUGACAGAGUGAGACUCUGUCUCAA